CCUGUUCACGCGUGUGUUACAACAGUGCUACACAGAUCCAGCAUGAAGAAAAACUCUGGUACACAUGCAGAACUCACCUGUAGUCACCUGCAGCACACAGUAGAGGAGAUACACACACACCAGCAUCUUUAACCAAGACUGGAACUGACACUCAUUUCAGACGGUUCCUCAGAGAGACCAACCUGCAGACCACUCGACAAGAGGUGUGGCAUCUCUAUGACAACACUUUCUAUUUGUUCUGGAGUAAUCAUGGAGACUGCAAUACAGCUGAGAGAUUCUGUGCAAGAAGGAAUGCUAGUCUAGCCACUGUAUCAGAAUUUAACAGGGUCUGGCUACAGUCACAGAUGACCAAUGGAAAGAACUUUCUGGUGAGGGCUGGCAGAUCAGACACUUCUGGAGACUACUCCUUAAUUAUGGACAAAGAUUCUGAGUGUGACCUCCUGGGUGUGCGCCAUGACCUCAGCUCUCUAGGUGGGACAUCAAAAUGUAAACAUGCGGGACAUUACAGUACAUAGAGACAGCCUGUUACCCCUGCUUUCAAAGAAGAUGUGAUCACUCUGUCUAAAAUCCUCAAAUCCAUCUUAAUGAAGAAAUGUCAAAAGAUUAAGGAAGGAAUCUUGGACCAUGGAAGCUUAACCCUUCUGAGUGAGAUCUACAUGGAGCUCUACAUCACAGAGGGAGUGGAGAAGUUCAUUCUGGACUGGGUGAAAGAACAGCGAAUCAGGACGUUGUCUUCAUGUUUCCACUUCCUUUCAGGGAGCUGAAUUUGAUAAAGGAGAAAAAGCUCAGUCUGGUGGAGCUUCUUUGUUGCUUUUUUCCACAAACAAAAUCAAUACCAUUAAUAGACUCUGAGGCUUACAAAGUCAUUUUCAUCUUUGAAAAUGUGGUAUCGUGAUGAUGGAUUAAGUUUUUGUUGACUAAAUUAUCACUAUCUACCUAGCUGACAGUAGCUAGAGGAUGAAAUGGCUCCUGUACAUUAACUAGCUAGCUAUUUCAAAGCUCCUUAUACAUGUAUAUACUGUGCACGAUGCAAGUACCAUUAUCUGGCACUAUACAACUACCAUUGUAAACAACCUCAAAGUCAUUAUUUUCAAUCAAAAUUAUUGUAAUGAGAAGCCAUCAUCUAAUUCAGCAGUUUAACUAGUGUUAGCUAAUUGUUUUGAGUAACGUUUACCAUAACAUUUGUCAGUGUCCUCAAGUCGUAUAAAAUAUCCUGUCAGAAUUUUGAUUCAUUGAGUCAUUGAUUAUCUUUGCAGGUUAUCAUCAUCAAACAUUUAUCUAGCACACUGCAGAUUUGCUUUAAACAGUCAACAGAUAAAUACACUUAGGGUUGACCAACAUGUUGGCUCGUAUUCUCUAUGUCCAGAAGUUAAAUGGAUGGGCUUCAAUAUAAUGUUUUGGCAUGUUUUUUUUUAAUAGUUUUUUUUUAAUUAAAAACAGUCCUUUACAUCAAAUCAGGAUUUUCCCUGAAGGUUUGGUUGGAACAAUCUGAUUAAAAAAACAAAACA